GCCUGGGUGGCUCAGUUGGUUAAGCAUCUGACUUCGGCUUAGGUCAUGAUCUCACAGUUCGUGGGUUCAAGUCCCGCAUCAGGCU
rnacentral:tRNA from 1 species